AAUAAAUAAAUAAAUAAAAGAGAGAGAGAAAGAGACAGCAGCAACUCUCUAAUUUGGACAGCAACUUCUAAUUUGAGCAUCAGCUUAUAAAGGGCCAAGAGACACAUGGGAAAAACAAAUUGAGACAUGAUAGUAGAAGCUCAAAUAAGGGUUGCCAUCAGGUAUAAACUACAGUGGAAAGAAUUUUUUACCAAGAAAAACGCAAGUGGUGUGGGUGGGGUGGAGGGGAGAGAGAGAGGAGAGCACAACUAGAGAACGAGCAAGGGAAAGAUAAGCAUGCCCGAUUUGAUUUUGAAACCCACCACCAGCAAUCGAUCCUCUGUUAUUCUAGAUCUUUUUC
rnacentral:misc_RNA from 1 species